rnacentral:lncRNA from 1 species
GUUCAGCCGCCGCUGCUGGCGCGCACUGUACAGCGGCAUCAGCCGCUUGUAGGACAUGUCCAGCAGCUGGUCCAGGUCCACGCCACGGAAGUGCAACUGGACAGCACUGACCCAGAGACAGGGGUUAAAAUGGACCUUCCUUCCUAUCAAGCCAUGGACUAAUGAUUAAGGAGUGGGACCAUUUAUCAGACCUGUCUAGUCUAUGAAUUCCACCCCAAGGGCCACAGUUGUGCACGGGCAUUGAGCCAAUCCCUGGACUUCUGCUGGCACGUGGGAGGAAGGACUCUCUCUUUCCAUGAGGAUUGCUGAGAGGAAGCCUAGGGCUGCCAGCAAUCAUCCUGCCACCGCACGGGAGGUGCACACCUGAAUGAAGGUAACAGCCGCAGAGAGCAAAGCCCACAUGGAGGAGCCAGGACAGGAUGGGGACAACAAGGCUUGAGCCCCUAGAUCCGGGCAUGCCUGGCCUUUUAGUUGCUCGUCUGAUCUCUAUUGGAUACCUCCCUCUGGAGGAAGCCAACUGCUUUGCUGGAAGCAGCCCUGGGGAGAUGCCAUGGAGUAAGAAACUGAAGCUUCCAACCAACAGCUGUCAGGGAACUGAAGUCUCUUUCCAAGAGCCAUAUGAAUUAGCUUAGACAUGGAUCUUCCAUCCUAGCCAGCCCUUGGAAGACCAGCCCCCAGCCUACAUCCUGAAUGCAACCUCACUAGAGACCCUGAGCCAGAACAACCCAGUCAGGCUACUCCUGGGUUCUUGAGUCCAGGAACUACAUGAGAUAAUAAAUGUUUGUUGUUUUAAGCCUAUGGUCCCCAAUCUUUUUGGCACUAGAGACUGGUUUCACGGAAGACAAUCUGUCCAAGGACAGGGGUAUGGGGAGGUAGCCCGGGAUGGUAGCGGGGCAGGGCGAAGGAUGAAAUUGUUCCACCUCAAAUCAUCAGGCAUUACUUAGAUUCUCAUAAGGGGCACACAACCUAGAUUCCUUGUAUGCAUAGUUCACAAUAAGGUUUGCACUCCUGUAAGAAUCAAAUGAUGCUGCUGGCUGAUCUGAGGUAGAGCUCAGGUGGUAAUGCUUGCUCACUCACCCGCUACUUACCUCCUGCUGUGCAGCCUGGUUCCUAACAGACCAGAGACCAGUAUGGUAUUUGAUCUGUGGCCUGUGGGUUGGGGACCCCUGUUUUAGCUAUUAAGUUUAGGGGUAAUUUGUUCCACAACAGCAGAUAACUAAUAUACUCAUCUAGAUUAUUGUGAAGCACAUCCCAGAUAUCAUAUUAUUUCAUCUGUAAACAUUUUAAAAACAAACCACGUUUCACUUUGUCACAGUUACACAGUUUGAAUGAGGAUUCAUGUUAAGAUCUACUCAUUGUGAUUGAUUGAGAUAUCUCUUAAGUCUCUUAUUCUAGAGUUCCCUCUCCAUUAUUUUUCUCACAAGUUUUGUUGAAGAAAUAACUUGUUGGUCAUGAAGAGCAUUCCAGAAUCCAGAUUUUACUAACUGUAUUUCUGAGGUGUCAUUUAACAUGUUCUUCUGUCCCUCUAUUUUAAUUGAUGGUGAGAUUGAGCAGUUUGAUUGGAUUCAGAUUUGACUACAUAUUUAUUUAUUUAUUUGGUAUUUACUUAUUUAUUUGCUAUUCAUUCGUGAUGUUUUUUUACUUCCCUCCAACAAAUGAGUAGUAGUCUCCUUGCGAUGAUGGUAGUCAUCAACGACCAAUGCCCAGAUUCAUUAAUUCAUCAGAAGCUGCAACAUAGUGAUAUUUUAAUUUCAUCAUCUC